rnacentral:rRNA from 1 species
UACGGGGGGAGCAAGCGUUGUUCGGAUUUACUGGGCGUAAAGGGCGCGUAGGCGGCCACCGCAAGUCAAUUGUGAAAUCUCCGGGCUUAACCCGGAAAGGUCAACUGAUACUGCGGGGCUAGAGUGCAGAAGGGGCAACUGGAAUUCUCGGUGUAGCGGUGAAAUGCGUAGAUAUCGAGAGGAACACCUGCGGCGAAGGCGGGUUGCUGGGCUGACACUGACGCUGAGGCGCGAAAGCUAGGGGAGCGAACGGG